ACAUCCAGGAGCCCCUGGCCCCAAAAGCCAUAGCUUGAAGGCAAAUCCGGAGAGGAUUUUAGGGGGCUGGUACCGGUCUCCUCUUUACAGGGUGUGGCUAGGAAGGGCAGGUCGGGUGAGGACACAGAAGGGUUGGGGCAUAUGCAGGCCCAUGGGGGAUUCCCCCUCCCGCUGGCUGUUCAUUAACUCUCCCAAUCUGGCUUCCUUUGGAGUUAAUGGGUGAUGUAGCAGGCUCCCUCCCAACCCAAGGCCUCUCCUCCACAGCACACUCACACCUCCAAGGGCUCUCCGCCUCGAGUGCUCUCAAUCAGGUCCUCCUGGGGACAGAGUCCUUGCCCGAGGGGGAAGCUGCCAUUCUGCCAGGCCUUCAACAGCAUGUGCCCUCCAGAUGCAACGGGGACUAGAGCCCUGGAGUCCUGACUCCCAGCCCCCUGCUCUAACCACCAGCCCUCCCACUGCUGGGAUGGAACCCCGAGGUCUUGACUCCCAGUCUCCAUUGCUCUCUGUGCCUCCAGCUUGCUCCCAAGGAAGCACCUGCGGGGGACCAUGGUUCAUCUGCAGUGUGCUGCCAUCUCCCCAGGAGCGGUAAAGGUCUGGAGGAGGCCUGGCCCAUGAGGGUGAGUGACAAAGUGGGCAUUUUCUGUAACAGUUCUUUGAAGCCUAUGUGUUUCCCCAGUAUUUUGCAUGGCUCCCCAAUGGGAAAGAAAGGACUGUCUGCUCUCAGGGCAGGCUGGUAGACAUAGGUAUGAACGUCACCUUGCUGUCUGAGACUGAAUGAGUCACAACCGCAAAUCAAUGGCAAAUCCAAGAAGAGAAUGGCAAACCUGAUCACCAGGCCAAUGCCACCUAGAGCAGCCAAGGACCCAGAGGGAGAUGGAUUUCCCCACUUCUCAGCAGGGAAGCUGAGCCCAGACCCCAGCUGGAGAAGAAAGGACUGGGAGGGGAAGCUGCGGGUGAAGCGCUGGCUGCUGGAGGAAACUGGCAGCUCCCACCUGGGAACAGACCGAGGUGGGCAGACAGACAGAGCCUGACCCCGGGGCUGGGCUCUGGGCUGAGCCGAAUGGACUGUGCUUUAACCUUCAGCUGUCUGUGCUAAGCCACGGGCUGCCUCUGCUGGUGCCAGGUGACUAAUAAACCGGUUGCCCUGGGGACGCUGCUCGAGGGUCACUGGAAAUGCCGG